UCUGACCAGGAAUCAAACCAUGACCUCCUGGCUCAUAGGUUGACACUCAACCACUGAGCCAGGCUGGCCAGACAGCAUAGUCAUCUUUUAAGCUGUGUCAUUAUACUCUUUUCCUUGACAGUGUACUCCUCUGCCUUAUCUUUGGGAGGGCUCAAAAGUAAAAUUGCAUUGCAGCUUUGUACAAAGGAAAAUUUUCCCAGAGAGGUAAAAUAUUAACUUCUGAAUGAUGCACAGGCAAAUACUUUUUUUUUAGUUGAAUGACUGCUUCUUCACUUGAAGUUGCUAAGGCUUUCUGAGCACCUUUGAAGCUGACUUCUGAAAGACCAAAACCAUCUUUAGGUAUUUAACAUGUAUUUGUUUAAUUGGGGUAUUAUCACCUCAUCUGUGAAGUUGAAAGACAAUAGGAUUCUACCUACCUUUAGGUCCUUGGUGUUAAAGACAAACACACACACACACACACACACACACACACACACACAAUCAAAUAACAAAACAUAUAUGAGUCAUCUCUCUUCAGUUUAAUUACUAAACUUUCUAUACUUUGGGUUUCACAAAAUCAGGUCCAGGUCCACUCAUUAUCCAUUUCUUCUGCAAAUUUUCAGAAUUGACUCAACUUAUUUUUUAAUUCUAAUUGGCAUCAUUGUCUUAGAAACACAGCAAUUUCUUAUGAGAGAUUGUGAAAACAACCAUAAACCAACAUUUUUUGGACAGACCUGCAUUUGAGACAUAUACAAAUAUGCAGGGUUUCGUUGGUUUUUUUAAACAAAGCCAUGCACAGGGCAGUGUCUUCAGCAGAUAUUAACAUCAGUCCUCUCUAUAGCCCCUUUGCUGAACUGUGGCAUGCUUGGAGUAUAAGCCGUAUAGCUAUCUGUGAGCCGUUUCCUUCCUGCACUGGGCCACACUGCACCUCCAUCAUCUCUUUUGCCUCCUCACGAGCCAGAUUUUCACUGAGCACAACUUGCUCUGUUGUGGUUAUUUAUAAUAAUUUUAAUAAGAUCAGCCUACAUGUUUAUAUUGGGAAGGCUCACAGAUUAAGAUGUACUUAUUUCCCUUAAUUUAAUUUUCUGUCUCCUUAAACAACUUCUAUAUCCAUGAUACAAAAAAAAAAAAGAAUGGAUUUUGGUUGUAUGAUGACCAAUUUUGUUUUUAGUUGGCCUUUGGGAUAGAAGUUGUUUAAAAGUCUUUGAAAAUCUAAAGGAAUUCCAUUCACUGGGCCCCUUCUUUCACAUACAUAUUUAUCCCCCUCACAUAAACCUGAUUUCCUUCUGUGGCUCUAUCCAGAAAUAGUGUGUGUGCUUUUAAGUGUUUAGUGGUGCUGCCCUUAUCAUAACCUCUUCUCAGAAAUGAGACCAAAUUAGGAAUCCAGGAUUUGGUAGAGUGGCCCUUUAUAGACACUGCUCCUCACCCACCGCCUAAGACAGGUCCUGGAGCCUUGUGUGUGUUCGUGGUUUUCAGUCCUGCACAUAAAUAUCUUGGUGAGGGUUUGGCUCCAUCACUAAUGCAAUUCAGUGACUGGGGAGCCACAAUUGCUGUAAACAUGACUCAAGAGCAGCCUGUUUAAUGUAAUCGUCUGACUCUGAAAUCAGGUGUGCAGAGGGGCCAAAGGUUACAAGUAAAUGAGCUAAAGAGAAAUGGAUGCCAAACUCAGAUCUGGUUCAAACGCACUGAGAACAGUCUUUAUACUUAAGUAGUUUUCGACCCACUUCUUCCCACCCACCCACUUUAAAUUACAGUUAUGGAGUAGAACUUUCUCUAGCCUCCUCCUUGGAAGAGAUUCAGGCAAAGCAUCCAUUCAGUCUGCAGAGUUCCCAGGAACAGCAGAAAACGAGGCCUCGGUCACCAGGAAGACAGACGCAGGGUGUGCGGAUAAUGAAAACCUAUGGCAGGAGGAAUGUACCUGAGGCAAGUAGACCAGAGUGAUGAGACGAAGAAGCAGAUAAAGUGGGAAAGUUACAAACACAGGCGCCAAAAUGCUGAGGCAGAAACCAACACUUCUAGACUUCCAUUGCUUUUAAGUCAUACUCCCAGAUGCCUGGGCUCUGAAACAAGGAGUCAGUUUGACAUUCUCUCCUCUCUACCCACACAAUCAGGUUCUGCUGAUUUUUUCGUAGUUCACCGAGAUUGCUUCCCUCUGUUUCCCUUCCACUAUUUUAGUCUCAAUAGCUCACACCUGGGCACUGGAGACUUCCCCAAGGGCAUGCCUUCUCCCAUCCUUUCACCUGCCGUCUUUCUGUAGGAGUGUUAUCAGGAUCUCAGCUUUGACUGUCUCCUCUUUACCCCUAUCACAGUGGUUCUCAACCUUGGCUGCACAUUAGAAUCACCUGGGAAU